rnacentral:rRNA from 1 species
GCGAAAAGAACCCCGGCGAGGGGAGUGAAAAAGAACCUGAAACCGUGUACGUACAAGCAGUGGGAGCCCCACCACUAAGCCAGUGGUGAACUCCACAUACGCAUCCUUUGCUGAGGAUACGGUUAACGGAGCGAAAGCGACGUUCAACCGCAAAAGAAGCAGAGGGGGCUUAGUGGUGGGGUGACUGCGUACCUUUUGUAUAAUGGGUCAGCGACUUAUAUUCUGUAGCAAGGUUAACCGAAUAGGGGAGCCGGAGGGAAACCGAGUCUUAACCGGGCGUUAAGUUGCAGGGUAUAGACCCGAAACCCGGUGAUCUAGCCAUGGGCAGGUUGAAGGUUGGGUAACACUAACUGGAGGACCGAACCGACUAAUGUUGAAAAAUUAGCGGAUGACCUGUGGCUGGGGGUGAAAGGCCAAUCAAACCGGGAGAUAGCUGGUUCUCCCCGAAAGCUAUUUAGGUAGCGCCUCGUGAAUUCAUCUCCGGGGGUAGAGCACUGUUUCGGCUAGGGGGCCAUCCCGGCUUACCAACCCGAUGCAAACUGCGAAUACCGGAGAAUGUUAUCACGGGAGACACACGGCGGGUGCUAACGUCCGUCGUGAAGAGGGAAACAACCCAGACCGCCAGCUAAGGUCCCAAAGUCAUGGUUAAGUGGGAAACGAUGUGGGAAGGCCCAGACAGCCAGGAUGUUGGCUUAGAAGCAGCCAUCAUUUAAAGAAAGCGUAAUAGCUCACUGGUCGAGUCGGCCUGCGCGGAAGAUGUAACGGGGCUAAACCAU